GAAAAGGGACAGCUAGGAAUAGAGCCAGACUCCCGAAAAGCUCAUGGCCACAAACAGUAAACUGGACAAAGUUGGGUGGAUUUGUUAGCAAAUAAUUGACAUUUGUCAUAUUUGUGGUUCUCUGUAUGAGGACAUGGUAUGAGUCUUGCUCACUAAGGAUGGAAACAAAAAGCCUUCCCAGUGAAUGGAGGCAUGCUCAGUGUGUAGUGUUAGCUACACCAGCCAGACACCAAACCCAGCUGAAAUGAGGCCUUGGUUAUCGGGCAGAGGACACUCUGGUGACUACGGAGAGCAUUACAGAAAGAAAGAGUCAGCCUGAGAGUUGUGCCUACCUCUGCACAGCAUCUAGGCUGUUAGCAGCAAUGAGCUCACACCUUCUCUUGGGUAGUUUGGGCACAGUUCCAGUUUAUGCUGCCAUUGAGCCCAUUUUCUAGUCUUCUAGGGGAUUCAAAGCUUCCUGUCACCAAACAAAAUCUCCUUCCGGUUCCAACUAACCCUGGUGGAUUCUUUUGCUCAUCAGCAGGAGUUCUGCAGGGCAGAAGUGAAGUCAUGUAGUCAAAACAUUGUGUCUCCAACUGUUGAGGGUCAGAUGUGUGACAUAAGAAAAUGCUAAGGGUACGUGUUCUCCAUGGUACACCCGAGUGUACCAUUGGCAGAGAACAACAGAUGGUUCCCAGAAGUUGUUCCCUGGGGCCAAAUUCAGCUUCCUUUUCUGUGAUGGCUCAAGCACCCUUUCUCUGGAAGCCUACCCUUCCCGUCCCUCUCCCCCCAAGCAUUUCCACUGAAUACCUUGGCAUUCAAAGAGCCUACAACUCAUGGUAACUGAGAGGGAAUGUCCCUUCCCUGCCAUUUGCCCACAGUUGAUGAAACAGAAAACAUGCAACAUUCAUGGCACUUCAAAGAAAGGAAGAAAAACUAAUUUCUGACUCUACUCCUCUUCUGCCUCAACAAAGCUACUGGAAGCCACUACAAGCAGGUGUGGGUGGAUCAACAGGGAGCUCCUGCGGUGGCAAAUAGGAGGCAGGAUGGAACAUGGAUGGCACGGCUCUUCUCCCUCUUCAGCAGGCUAGUUGGGGCCACCAUGAGGUGAAUAGGCCUCCUCUGCCAUGACUUUCCAUCUCCUUGUCUCUCUGGCCCCUGGCCAUCAUGGGGUGAACAGACCUCCUUUUCUAUGAUGUACUCUACAAGCCCAAAGCAGCAGGAUGAAGAGAUCAUGGCCUGAAAUCACAUAAACUAGAAGUCAAAACAAACUUUUCCCUCCAAGUUGAUUGUCUUGGUUAUUUGUCACAGUGUUGGAAAGAUAGUGAGUGAUUAA